GAGAGCCGUGUGAUGGGUGACUAUCUCGCACGGUUCGGAGGGAGCUCGAGUAUGGGAAACAACCCAAAAAGUUGUUAGCAGAAAGUUCUACCCUAU
rfam:Klebsormidium nitens mitochondrial DNA, scaffold: kfl01814, whole genome shotgun sequence.